rnacentral:rRNA from 1 species
AUGGAGACGCAGCCGAUCCUCAACCACACCGGCCCGCUCUACAUCGGCACCGACUGGCGGCUGCACGGUGCGGUGCUGCGCACCAUGCGCCGCGUGCCGGUCCACCUCGUCGACAUCACCGCGCUCUCCGAGUUCCGCAAGGACGCGCACACCUCCGUGCACACGCUCAGGCAGGGCAAGCUGCUGACGCCCGAGCAGCAGGCCGACCCGCGCACCUACGCCGACUGCAUCCACUGGUGCCUCCCGGGGCUCCCCGACACCUGGAACCACUUCCUCUACGCCCAGAUCGUCUCCGUGCCUCCGCCGGCGCAAGCGCAGCCCCUCAUGCAGUCGUCGUCGUCGUUGUAG